UACGUAGGGAGCGAGCGUUAUCCGGAUUUAUUGGGUGUAAAGGGUGCGUAGACGGGAAUGUAAGUUAGUUGUGAAAUACCUCGGCUUAACUGAGGAACUGCAACUAAAACUAUAUUUCUUGAGUACUGGAGAGGAAAGUGGAAUUCCUAGUGUAGCGGUGAAAUGCGUAGAUAUUAGGAGGAACACCAGUGGCGAAGGCGACUUUCUGGACAGAAACUGACGUUGAGGCACGAAAGUGUGGGGAGCAAACAGG
rnacentral:rRNA from 1 species